CUAGUCCUAAGUAUACAUUUUGUGCUCACAGUUUGCAAGGUGCUGAAGUGAGUGGCAGCUCGUUUUACAAGAGCAUGGCAUAUUGGGGCUAAUGGUAGUGGGGUUCCCAGCUUUCCUGCUUCUCCGCUAGCAUCUUCUUUGAGUCUGCAGAAAAACACUGACCAGCAGGUGUCAACUGGAUGAUUCACUGAUGGAUUGACUUUUACCUAGCAGGAUGUCUGAGAGCAGAGCAAUUGGCCUUAGACUCAGCGCUGCCCUUGGGAAAGAGUAAAUAGCAUGCAUGCUGGAGCUAAGGAGUCUGGGUCUGGUCAGUGCCUUGAUGUGAGACUGGUUGUGUAUCGCCGUUAUCUCCAUAAUGGAAUAAAGAUGGCAGUCAGAGGCAGAGAGAAGACCCUUGCCGAAAGCCACCCAGUGGGUUCGUGGCUGAAUCUGGAUCCAGUUCAUUGCUCAGUUUCUUAACCACUAGGCUCUAACAGUGUUUCAGUCUGUUAGUCCUCAAAAUAACAGCAUAAUAAAAAUCUACAUUAAUAUGGUGGGUUUUAUAUUUCCUAAAUGAGGCAAAAAUGGAAUUGACCUCUUACUCUUUAUGAGUCUGAUAGAAUUAUAAGAACUUAUUAUCAGCAAAACAUGCUGCUAUGAUUUCAUCAUUAAGUUUGUUCUGUCAUAUAUUUGUGCAAAAAGUUCUUAUAUGACAACAACCCCACUUCCAUGAAAUGUUCAGGUUUGCUGCUUGACUAUAACAUCACAGUUUAUUUCUCUAUGGCUAAAAUCAGUGGUAUAGCA